rnacentral:rRNA from 1 species
AUGAGCCAAAGAAGGCACGAAUUGAUGGUUUCACUUUUGUCGAUAAGAGAACAAAAAAAGAUUGACUGUAACGAUGAGCAUCACUUCAAGAUCAUACAAGCUGCGGCAGCACAGGGAUUGACUGUAACGAGUGCCAGAGAACAAGCAGCCAACUUAGGUAUUACUCUUCGUGAACUGUUAGGCCUUGAUGAGGCGCCAGUGAAGGAGGUAGUAAUUACAUAUGUCAAGAAUGGGCCUCUCGUCGAGCCUGCGCAGGAAAAGGAUCUACCUCCACAAAUGAAAGGUCUGCUGAAAUGGUACAAGGGUUACAUAAAAAAUAAAAACGCCAAAGAAUAUAUUUAUGCGGAAGUUAGACAUGAGCAUCACUUCAAACAUUACUAUGUACAAAUUGAACUGAGUGAAUUGUUCCAGCUUUUCAAUCUGCGCGAGCUCGAUAAAUCUAUCAUCAGUUGCUACGUUCUGUAA